rnacentral:rRNA from 1 species
CCUACGGGGGGCAGCAGCAGGGAAUAUUGCGCAAUGGGCGAAAGCCUGACGCAGCGACGCCGCGUGAGGGAUGAAGGCCUUCGGGUCGUAAACCUCUUUUUUCAGGGACGAAAAAAAUGACGGUACCUGAGGAGGAAGCCCCGGCUAACUACGUGCCAGCAGCCGCGGUAAUACGUAGGUGGCAAGCGUUGUCCGGAUUUAUUGGGCGUAAAGGGCGUGUAGGCGGCCCGGUAAGUCAGGUGUGAAAACCCUCGGCUCAACCGAGGGCAUGCACCUGAAACUAUCGGGCUUGAGGGCAGGAGAGGAGAGUGGAAUUCCCGGUGUAGUGGUGAAAUGCGUAGAUAUCGGGAGGAACACCAGUGGCGAAGGCGGCCUUCUGGGCUGUUACUGACGCUGAGGCGCGAAAGCGUGGGGAGCAAACAGGAUUAGAUACCCUUGUAGUC